UGGACCGGAGCCGUCGAUGUCAUUGGACUAAAAGUGGAGAGAGUGUGAAGCUUCAAAUUCCUAGGGCUCCUCUCUUCUUCAAAUCGGCUUCUACUUCUAACAUAAUUUUCAUUCUUUCUUCUUCUCUAUUUUCCUUUGCAAAAUCCUUUGAUGGCACUUCCUCCAGGCCCCUAUUCUGGAACUAGCACCCUCGCUUUGGUUGCUCGUGCUUCGGCGUUCUCUGUUGGGCUUGUCUACGGAAGCCUCAAGCUCAAGUACCUUCAGGCGAAGGCAAAAUCUCACAAGAAAGCUGAAGCAAAGGCUCAUCACUGAGGUAUGGCUAAUUUCGGUCCGUGUCAAAAACGAGGCACUGGUUGAAUUUCGAAGGGAAAUAAUACAUCGUAGUUGAUCAAAAUUUAUUUUUCUUUGAUACUUUUUUUUCCAUGUUGCAUUGGAUGGCUUUAUAUUUCAUUAAAGAGUCAUAUAGAUGUAUCUUACAUCGGUCUUAAGGACUAUAUUUGAGCUACAAUUAGUUUUGAUGGAUUGAUGAGAGGACAAACAGAUCACGAUUCCUUUCUUUGAUUGGAAAUGAAUAAUUUGCUUGUCAUCUGUCUUGGUGCAGGUGUUGAGUUAAUUCAUUAAGGUUUAUUCA